rnacentral:lncRNA from 1 species
AUCUAUAUAUACAUUUUUACAGGGGAUUUUUGCAAAAAGUCUUUUGGAUCCGGGUUUUACCCGGUUUAAUCAUAUUCGGAUCUUGGAUAAGAGAUUUAAGGAAUGUUGUCUUAAAACCACAUUUAAAUUUUCACUCUAAUUACUUCUAUAAUUCCAUAUUUAAUCUACCAAUCCGCACUUCACAUAUUCCUAAACUAUUUCGCUAAUCCAAUAUCUCCGGAAUCUAAUCAUACCUAAUUUAUUCCACUCAUAUUUACACAAUCAAAACAAAUUACUUCUCACAUACCUUAUCAUCUCUUUUGUUCCACCAUUUUCGUCAAUGCAAUCUUCACCAAAUCUUGCUUCUGCUACUAUCAAUUUAAAUGACUUCGAAAUAUAUUUUCCCUCUACUAAUUGAAUUUAUUUUCCCGCCUACGCUCAGUUCUUAUCAUUUAAGAGAAUCUUUUAGUUAUCCUCUCCUUCCCACAGAUUUCCGGAAACCUCAACCAAUUCAUUGAUAACCAUUAAUCUAUAUUCCAUAAUCUUAACAAUGCAUAUAUUUUAUGCCGAUUUGUGGGAGAUUGCGAUACCUAUUCUAUCACCCUAUAUAUAGUUCCAUAUCAAACCCUCUCAUCAUCAUCAGCACUCACCCCCUCUAAUCAUAUUAUUUUCUCUAAACAUAAUCGAGCAUAUAAUGGCUGCUGCAACAUUUGCUUACCUCAAAGAUGUCAGGCCAUACACCACACAGUGGAGAGUCCAAGUGAAGGUACUUCACUCCUGGCGUCAGUACACAUCCAACACUGGUGAAACUCUAGAGUUGGUGUUAUCUGACAUUGAGGUAAAUCUGUAACAUAAUAAUUGUUAAUUAGUUUGCAUUAAACCAUUUUAAAGCUACUAUUUUUAACUGACUCUACUGUUUCUAUAAACUAUAACAGGGCAAAAAGAUUCAUGCUACCGUGAAGAAGGAACUGGUGAGCAGAUAUGUCUCAAGCUUACCUGUUGGUCAUUGGGUGUUCAUUGAGAUCUUUGCUCUCAAUUAUGCCAGUGGCCAAUUUCGUCCAACCUCUCAUCUAUAUAAGAUGACUUUCACAAAUGGAACUCAUGUCUUUCCAUGUGAUCCUGUCUCUGACUCAAGUUACCUGUCACUAGCCAGUUUCAAAAGAAUUCAAAAUGGAGAUCUUAAUCCAUACAUAUUGGUUGGUAAGUAUCUUUUUAAUUUAAAGAUAUUAAAUAAAUCAAUCUACACUUUAGAAACAGAACAUGAUAUAUUUUUAUCUCUAUUUUUAUUUUAUAGAUGUAAUUGGCCAGAUUGUUAUGAUUGGAGAGUUGUUAACUCUUGAAGCCAAUAACAAACCAACUAGCAAGAUUGAGUUUGAAAUGAGAAAUGAAACGUAAGAAUUUUCAAUUUUUUGGUUAGUAUCUUUACUUAUCCUACUGAACAUGUUCUGUUUUGAACAUAAAAGUGAUGAAAGGAUCUGUGUUACCUUGUGGGGAUCAUUUGCUGAGACUGUUUACAGAGGAAGCCAGGAUGCUGGUGGACGUCCUGUUGUCUGUUUGUUGAGGUUUGUGAAGAUCAAAUCCUUCAAAGGUACAUAAAACAUAAUCUUAGCAACCAUAUCAAUAUACUGGGACCGUUUAUAUAGAAGUUAUGCCUCAUAUAUCUUAUUUGUAAUCUACAGGUGUAAAGACUCUGUCUAACUCAUUUGAUGCUUCACAAGUUUUUGUUAAUCCAGCAAUCCCUGAAAUUGCUGUGUUUGUUCAAAGGUACAUUUUGUAUGUGAUUUAAUAGUUUAUCCAAUUGUGCUUACUUCUGUACUAUGGAACUAACAUAUAUAUACAUGUUUUUGACAUAUAGUCUCCCAAGUGAUGGUGCAAUGUGUAUCUUCCGUGAGAGAGUCCCGAAAUUUGAGAUUGUUGUUGCCAAUCAGGAUGAUACUUCUUUAGAUCAUCCCAGGAAAACCAUUGUGGAUCUCCUCAACUCUGUCGAGGUAAUUAGUUAUGAUUACUAUCAUUAGAAAACAGUUUAAUGUCUAUAAAUAUCCAUAUUAAAAUCUACUUUUUUUCUAGAUUGGCAAGGCAAGGUUGAUGUGUACAAUCUAUGCAAUUGAUACCGACUGGGCUUGGUAUUACAUUAGCUGUCGUGCUUGCAAUAAGAAAGUCACACAUAUCCACCAUGGAGUGAAUGGUGUGAAUAACAAAGGGAAAAAGCCAAGGUUCUGGUGUGACACUUGCAAAUCUGUGGUCACUAAUGUCGUGGCUAGGUAAAAAAUUCUGAAAUAGCUAUGUUAUUAGUCUAUAGAAGAAAAUUAUAUCUACAUAUACAUUAUUGUUUACAUUUUAUACAGGUUUAUGCUCUAUGCUAAGGUGAUGGACAACACUGGUGAAGCUAAAUUGUUGCUGUUUGAUUCAGUUUGCUCUGAAAUCAUUGGAGAGUCUGCUACAUCUGUGCUUAAUGGUUCCGUUGAUGAGGUUUGAUGCACUACUAUAUAUGCUAAUAUCUUUUUUACAUUGUUCUAGACACACAAAUUCCUGAAUAGUUUUUAAUUUCAGAUUGAUGAUCCGGAGAACAUACCAGAUGCAGUUAAAAAUCUAUUUGGAAGGACAUUUCUUUUCCUGGUGUCUAUUGAUAAAGAGAAUAUUUGGGAUGGGAAGGAGAUAUACAAGGUAUCUAAAGUGUUGCAGAAAGAUGGCCUUCUGCUUGAGGAACAAUUGCUGGAGGAUUCUCAUGAGUUGGUCAAUCCUGCAUCUAUUGUAUCUGGUGAUCAGGUGAUUGUUUUGUCAGAACAUAUUUAGCAUAGAACAAUUGUUAGUACAUGGAUCUUAAAACAAGCUAAGUUAUAGUAUUAAUUUCAUCGUUUGUUUUAUUACAGGUGCCACUAAUGCUGGAGAUGAGUCAAGAGACUUCUGACUCUGUCACUCCAUCAUCAAAACGUGUUUAUGCUGACAAUCCCGGUUCUUCUGAUCAUUCUUCUUCUUCUAAGAAGUUGUGCAUUGAACCUAUUGACUUUGGUGAUGAAGAUUCUAUUACUAAGGAUCAAGAGGCAAAUGUGAAGGACAUAGCUGCCAAGGUUGCUGUGGUGAUUAAUGAUGAUGCUUACAAAUCUGAGCCUAAGACUAACAAUGUUGUAUCCAAUGGUGGAGUGGGUACACAUGAGGUGAAGAAGGAGGGGAAAUGUGUUAAAGGUGUUGUGAAGGUCAAGGUUGAAAAGAAGUGAAGAAUGGUUGCUAUGAUUUGAAUAAUUACCUGCUUUGUUUUCUUAUUGCUUUCAGAUUUCUAAGACUUUGAUUUCUAUUAUUGCUUGCUAUUCUGUUUGGUGAUUUCUUUCUAUUGUUAGUCUUCGUUGGAUGCUAUUUUAUUUCAAUUUAUCAUUUCUUACAAUUAUAGUCUUACUCUAUAUUAAUUAACCUUGCAAAUAUAGUCUUUUUUGCUUAACUUCUAAUUCAUCUAUAAACCUAAUUAAUUAGAGAGCAUAAUAUAGAUACAUCUACAUAUAUGUGAAGUGCUAAGAUUCCGUAUAACUUGAUAUAUUAGAAUAUUAAAAUUCUUAGAUGUAUAUAUAGUGUCUAUAUAUACUGUAUACUCAAUCUUUCAUAUUUGACAUGCAAUCUUCAAACGUAAUCAUUUUGGUAACUGACAACUUUUCAAUCAUUAUCAAUGAUUCCCUAUAAUCUAAAAAAUAUAGAGUAUACUAAUAAAACAAUUAAUAACGUUUCGAUUUCCCUUAUUUUCUUUAACAAUUUAUUUCUCAUCUUCAUCAAUCUCUCUAUAUAACCAAGUAGACCUAUCGUUUAGAAUUGAAAAAGAAACACUGUAACUUCCCUUCUCAAAGCAAAGCAGAAUCGUUACAAAACAUGGUUGAUAUGCAUCUUUUUUCCCAAAUUCGUGUUAACUCUACAGAGUGGAGGGUUUAUGUUAAGAUAAUGCGUAUCUGGCAUCACAAUCCACCAUUGAAUGGUGAUGUAACCACCAUGAUUCUCGCAGAUGAAAAGGUUUGUUUGUAAUUCUUAUCUUCUGUUUUAAAACAUAGUGAAGAUCAUCCACUUACUUUCUUCUCUUAUUUAAUAUCUCUUGAUUUUUUUGUUUUUGUUUGUAUAGGGUAAUUUCUGCGAUGCAACAAUUGCUAGAAACAACUAUAUUUUUAACUUUCAACCUGGACUCAAAGAAGGUUUGUGGUAUUACAUGUCUGACUUCCAACCAGUCGUACCCUCAGAAUACCAAGCCAGAUUUGCACCAUUUCCACUUCAGAUUAGGUGUAUCAGACAAACAACAAUGUGGCCUGUUAGAUCUAGGGGUUAUAGCAAUUUCUUUGACUUUAUGACUCAUGAUUCUAUCAGCAACCCUCAUCCAGAUGAUGGAACCUAUGUGACUGGUAAUAAAAGAGCCUAGGUUCAAGUUAUAUAGUUAUCUAUUUAAAUGUCUUUCCAACCAUUUUGUGUUUUGUUUUUUUAGAUGCUAUGGGUGUGAUCUCUGCUGUGUCCACCAUUGGAAGGUUUCCCUUUGUUUGUCGUCCUGGUGAGACAGAUUAUGAAGCUCGCUAUGUCUGUUUCAAGAUUGCUAACAAUGUGUAAGUUUACUAUAUUUCUGUCUAAUUUUGUACAAGAUUCAAAUUUUUGUUAUCAUGUUAUAUCUGUUAAAAACAAUAUGCUUUGAUGGCUACAUGAAAUCUAGGGGUGAGACUAUCAAAUGCGUUGCUAUUGGUAAGUGGUGUGAGUUCUUUAUCAACGCUUGGUCCAGAAGAAUUAGCUCUGUAGAUUACAACUAUGAUAAGAUAGUUGCAGUCUUGCGUUUCUGGAGGAUCUCAUCGUACUGUGGUAGGUUUUAAUGAGAUUUUGCUAUUGCUGAACUUAUUUUUGCAGUGUUAUAUUGACUGUGUUUAUUAUUGCAAUAUAGGAAAAAAUGUCUUAAUGAGUGAAUCUUGCUGUUCACGUCUCUACAUUGAUCCCAUUUUCUAUGAGCUAGACUUACCAAGCUACCUGUAAGUAUCGUUUAUAUUUUACACUUCUUUAAUGUUUUUCGAUUUUCAGUGUUAACAUAAAUGCAACUAUAUUUCUGGUAGGCGCUCUUUCGAAGAUACUUCAAGUGAUGAGGAAGAUGUCAUGAUGGAGAUGGUUGAGGAGAACUAAUUAUUGUGAGGGAUAUCUGUGCAUGUUCUACGGUGGCUAGCUCUUUUGAAGAACUCUGAAUGGUUUGGUGUUAUGUUUUAAGUUUAUGGUUUGAACUCUUCAUGUUUUUAAUUUUCUUUUAGUUUAUUAUCAACUACUACGGCAACUCUGCACAAGAGUUUGCAAACUUGCUUUCUAUUUAAUAUUUUAUCUGUAUUGAAUCUGUUUGACAAUUUAUGUGUUUUUUGGUAUUUUGAUGUCUACAAGUUUGCAAUAGGUCUGUUAAAAGAAAAAAAGGUUAUAAAUUAAUUAUGAAUUUAAUUCUAACUAAAUCUCAAACAGUAACUAUUUAGGUUAAUUCGUUUACUUUAGUAAAUUAAAUGAUUUGGUUUAAGAAAAUGUUUAGAAAACAUACCUAGAUAUUAAAGGUAUUGGUUAGCUUUAGACACGCAUCAAUCAAGAUAAGCAUCUAUCAAGAUCCUCAUUGCUUGCUGUAUUUCCUUAAUCUGUGUAAUUAUAAACAUAUCAGUUAGUAUAUGAAUCACUAACGAUAAUAUUGGACAGAUUUUCUAAAUAUUAUCAUUGAAACAUCUAACUUGAUCUCAAUGCCUAGAAUAUAGUAACUGUCUAUAUUUUAUCAACAGAUCAAUAUUACUUGAUCAAUGGCGUAUCUGCCAUUUAAUUUUUAAAAGGCUAUUUCAGUAUGAAGUUCAUUGUUUAUCAGAAGAACCAUUUUGCUUAAACUCGCUGUUUUUCUUUUGUUUGCAAAUAUGAAAAAAAAACCAGACUACCCUCUUUUAGACUUGAACUCUUCACCUACACCAGCUAAAAGAUCCCGUGUUACUCAAACUCCAACAUCGCAGAGCCAAAUUACUCAAACUACUAGCUCUAAGCCUAACUACCCUCUUAUAGAUUUGAAUUUCUCACCUAAAACAGCUAAAACAGUCCAGUUUGGUCAAACUCCAACAUCGCAGAACCAAAUUACUCAAGCUACUGGCUCUAAACAAUUCUAUCCUCUUAUAGACUUGAACUCUUCUCCUAAACCAGCUAAAAGAUCACGUGUUAUUCAGACUCCAACACCGCAGAGCCAAAUUACUCAAGCUACUGUCUUUAACACAAAUGGUGUUGUCCCUCUAAAAUCAGCCUUUAGCAGAGUGUUUAGAGAUAUUACCAAUCUUCCUUGCAGAAAUGCUGAAACAAGUAAGACCCCAAGGAGUCCGCAGCAAUCAUUAUCUUCAAAACAUACACGACAACCACUUGGUCCUGCUCUUCCUACCUCAUGCUUACGCAAACUGUCAGACUGUACUCCUGUUCCACAAGAAAAUAACUGCCAUAUCAGAAAUUUACAAGACGCCUUUGCUAAUGCAUCAUUUUCUCCUUCAGACAAAGGUAGCAUACAUUUCUUAAGUUACUGUCUUAGUUUUCAGAGUUUUACCAAUCUACUAUCUAAAUACAUUACUUAAUUAUAUAUGUUUUUGUACUAUCUAGGCAAAGGAAAAGAACCAGUACUGCCAACCUUAACAGAUUGUAGCACUGAUGAUGAAAGUAUGGAGCAUAUUAAUUAUAUUGGAAUGAAUGACAGUGAAUCUGAUGGAACACAAGACUACUCUGUUAGCAGCACAGAAGAUGAAGUUGAAGAAGGUUACUCGGCUCCUGUUCAGGAACCUUCUACUGAACAUAUAUUUAAUUCUCCACAACAAGUUAUUGACUUGAGUAGUUCAGCGGAUGAAUCAAGAGAAGAAUUAACUACUCCUACUGUAAGUGUUACUAGGAAAAGUGUAGAAAGGAAAGCAGUGACUCAAAAUAAAAAUCUACCUAAGAAAAUAGGUAGGCCAAGAUUGGCUUUCCCCUCGAAAAGGGCAGCAGCAAAAGCAAAAAAAACAGGUUAGAACUUAAGAAUAUAAUACAUAAUAGACAUUUAUUUGCAAACCUCAACAUAUAGCAUCCUUUGUUGCGUACAUAUUACUAACACUCUAUUUUUCCUUUAGGAUAUCUUGAUCAUGGUGAUCCUACAUACACGUGUAAGUAUUGUGGUGCUUUGAUGUGGUUUGAUGAGCGCAUAAACAAAAGAAACAGUAGUAAGGAUCCAACAUUUACUCUAUGUUGUGGGCAAGGCAGUGUGAAAUUGCCAUUUCUCAAGGAAUCACCAGAGCUUAUUAAAAAGCUUCUUAAAGGAACAGAUGCAAUUAGUAGAAAUUUCAGAGAGAAUUUAAGGACUUAUAAUAUGCUCUUCGCAAUGACCUCCCUUGGUGGGAAGGUAGAUAAAUCUAUGCCUAAAGGUAAAGGACCUGCAAUGUUUCGAUUGCAAGGAGGAAACUAUCAUCAAAUUGGGGGAUUAAAACCUGCUGCUGGUGAUUAUGCUAAGUAUUCACAACUUUAUAUAGUUGAUACUGAAUCUGAAGUUGAUCAGAGAGCUACUGUCAUCGGGUAAGAGUUAUAAUAGUAUUCAAAAACAUUGCAGAUUUACUGUUAUAUUAACUUCGAUACUAUAUUCAGCUGUAGUUAUCUAACUCUGUGUCUUCUUAUGGUCAUUACAGGAAGGGUAAAAAUCUAAAGUCUACCUCUUGGAAAAAAAAACUGAACAAGGAACUGAUUGAAGCAAUAAUAAAAAUGCUGAAUGAAUCAAACCCUUAUGUCAAGAAAUUCAGGUCUGCAAGAGAGAGGUUUCAAUCUAAUGAUGAUGAACCAUUUCAUAUGCGGAUUGUUGCUGAUCGUCAAGGUGUUGAUGGGAGGCAAUACAGUAUGCCUACAGCUGGAGAGGUUGCAGCUUUGAUCCCUGGUGAUUUCAUUCCUGACAUGCCAGUUCGUGAUAUAAUUCUAGAAAAAUCCUCAAAUGGACGCCUAAAGAGGAUAAGCCAGAUUCAUAUUUCCUAUUUGGCUCUACAAUACCCUCUAAUAUUUUGCUAUGGUGAAGAUGGUUACAGGCCUGGUAUUGAGAAGUGUUACAAAUCAAGCAACAACAAGAAGAAAAAGUGUAUAAGUAUGAGACAGUGGUUUGCUUUCCGCAUUCAAGAGAGGGAAAAUGAGUGUCAUACUCUGCUUGAAUCAAAGAGGUUGUUCCAACAGUUUCUGUGUGAUGCAUAUACAACUAUUGAAUCAAACCGCCUCUCUUAUAUCAAGUUUAAUCAGUCUAAGCUACGAUGUGAGAAUUUUAACUCCAUUAAAGCAGCUGCUAACUCUGGAACCAAAGAUAUGGCUGAAGAAGGAAAUCAGAUUCUUAUUCCAGCAUCUUUCACUGGUGGACCUAGAUAUAUGAUCCAAAGCUAUUACGAUGCUAUGGCUAUCUGUAAGCGUUAUGGUUUCCCAGAUCUUUUCAUCACCUUUACAUGUAAUCCUAAGUGGCCUGAGAUUACAAGAUAUUGUGAAGCAAGAGGGUUAACUGCUGAUGAUAGACCGGACAUCGUGGCGAGGAUAUUCAAAAUGAAAUUGGAUUCUCUGAUGAAAGACUUAACAGAAAGAAAAAUGCUUGGAAAGACAGCUGCAUGUAAGUUUUUCAUUUUACUCUGUCGGUUUUAUAGUUUAAGAAUACAGAAAAUGCUAUUUGUUUUUCCUAACUAUUGCUUUUUUUCCUCUUCCAGCUAUGUAUACUGUUGAAUUCCAGAAAAGAGGAUUGCCUCAUGCUCACAUCCUCUUAUUUAUGGAUGUUAAUAGUAAACUGCCAACAGCUGACGACAUUGACAAGAUCAUAUCUGCAGAAAUUCCAGACAAAGAAAAAGAACCGGAGCUAUAUGAAGUUAUCAAAAACUCUAUGAUUCAUGGACCAUGUGGCUCAGCGAAUCCAAAUUCUCCGUGUAUGGUUGAUGGCCAGUGUUCUAAGCUAUACCCAAAAAAACAUCAAGAGAUCACUAAGGUUGGUAGUGAUGGUUAUCCUGUCUAUAGGAGGAGGCUCACAGAAGCUUAUAUUGAGAAAGGUGAUGUUAAAUGUGACAAUAGGUACGUUGUCCCUUAUAAUAAGAAGCUCUCUCUUCGAUAUAAUGCUCAUAUCAACGUGGAAUGGUGCAAUCAAAAUGGUUCUAUCAAAUACUUAUUUAAGUAUAUAAACAAAGGACCAGAUAUGGUUACAGUGAUCGUUGAGCCUAUAAAUCAGCCAACAACAGGUGAAACAGCAAGUGGUUCUACAGCAACUGGUUCUACAGCAACUGGUGAUACAACAACUACAGCUCAAGAACCAGAUUCAAAUGAGAAAAAGAAGGAUGAAAUAAAAGAUUGGUUUGACUGCAGGUAUGUUAUUAACUUAGUAUUAUGUAAAUUAGAAAGUUUUUAUCCUGUUACAAUUUUCUGGAAUUCAGUUUUUGUAUGUCUAUAGAUAUGUAUCAGCUUCAGAGGCGGUUUGGAGAAUUUUCAAAUUUCCUAUUCAACACAGAUCAACCCCAGUCUUGAAAUUAUCUUUUCAUGUGGAAGGAAAGCAACCAAUAUAUUUCGAUCCAAAGUCACAAAUAGCAGAUGUUCUAGAUCGUGUAUCCAAUGAAGAUUCUCAGUUUAUGGCUUGGUUGACAUUGAAUAGAAAAAAUGCAGUCGGAAAGAAUGGAAAGCGUGCAAGAGAGUGUCUAUAUGCGGAAAUACCAGCCUAUUUUACUUGGGAUGGAAAGAAUAAGCAGUUUAAGAAGAGAUCUAGAGGCUGGGCUUUGGGUCGUAUUAAUUAUGUCCCAAGGAAAAUGGAAGAUGAAUACUAUCUUCGAGUACUGCUCAACAUAGUUAGAGGUCCACAGACUUAUGAUGACAUAAAAACAUAUCAAGGUGUGGUUUAUCCAACUUACAAGGAAGCAUGUUUCGCACGUGGCAUAUUAGAUGAUGAUCAAGUCUACAUUGAUGGUCUGAUUGAAUUAGGUCAGCAUAGUUUUGCUCCUGUUUUGAGGAAUUUUUUUUCAAUGCUGCUUCUAUCUAUGUCUCUAGCAAGACCAGAACAUGUUUGGUCAGAAACAUGGCAUCUAUUAGCUGAAGAUAUCCUGGCUAAGAAGAAAUUAGAGUACAAGAAUCCAGGUUUUAGAAUACGCUUCUCUAAUUUUUAAAUGUUGUUUUCAGUACAAUUUUUAAAUCGCCUGUUUUACCUUCCACACUACUAUUUGCAGAACUUACACUCACAGAAGCUCAAAUAAAGAACUACACGCUUCAGGAGAUAGAGAAAAUUAUGUUGUUCAAUGGAGGAACUCUAGAAGAUUUUGAACAUUUCCCUAAGCCUACAAGAGAGGGAAUUGAUAAUUCAAACCGUCUUAUUGUUGAUGAGUUGAGAUAUAACAUUGAAUCCAACUUGGAAGAACAGCAUGCAGAGUGGAGAGAUAAGCUAACUCCUGAACAGAGAGGUGUAUACAAUGAGAUAACCGGGGCAGUUUUCAAUGGUUUAGGUGGAGUUUUCUUUGUUUACGGCUCUGGAGGAACAGGGAAAACAUUUAUUUGGAAGACACUAGCUGCGGCUAUUAGGUCUAAAGGUCUAAUAUGUCUUAAUGUCGCCUCAAGUGGCAUUGCUUCUUUGUUGUUGGAAGGAGGAAGAACAGCACAUUCAAGGUUUUCUAUUCCAUUGAAUCCUGAUGAGUUUUCUGUUUGCAAGAUCAAAGCUAAAUCAGAUUUAGCAGAUUUGAUUAAAGAAACAUCUCUCAUAAUCUGGGAUGAAGCGCCAAUGAUGAGCAAGUUUUGUUUCGAAGCUUUAGAUAAAAGCUUCUGUGAUAUUAUCAAACACGCAGAGAACAAGGUAUUUGGUGGAAAGGUUGUUGUAUUUGGAGGUGAUUUUAGACAAGUACUUCCAGUUAUUACUAAUGCUGGUAGAGCAGAAAUUGUUAUGUCAUCUCUAAAUUCUUCAUACCUUUGGGAUCACUGCAAAGUUUUAAAGUUGACCAAGAACAUGCGACUUCUAAACAACAGUUUAAGUGCUCAGGAAGCUAAAGAAAUACAAGAAUUCUCAGAUUGGUUGUUGGCUGUUGGUGAUGGUAGGAUCAAUGAGCCUAAUGAUGGUGAGGUUGUGAUAGAUAUUCCUGAAGAUUUGCUGAUUACAGAAGCAGACAAUCCAAUAGAAGCAAUUACUAGGGAAAUUUAUGGAGAUCCAACUAAACUUCAUGAAAUCCGUGAUCCUAAAUUCUUUCAAAUGAGAGCUAUUUUAGCACCAAAGAAUGAUGAUGUCAACACAAUCAAUCAGUAUAUGCUUGAGCAUUUGGAUAGUGAGUAUACUUUAACUCUUACCUAUUUACUUUCUUAUUAUAUAGCUUUGUUGCUAAGUUGUUACUGUUGUAACUAAUCAUAACCCAUUUAUUCUACAGGUCCAGAAAGAAUUUAUCUAUCUGCUGAUAGUAUAGAUCCUUCAGAUUCUGAUGCUCUUAACAAUCCUGUUAUUACUCCAGAUUUCUUAAACAGUAUCAAGGUUUCAGGUUUGCCUAAUCAUUCUUUGCGUUUAAAGAUUGGUGCUCCUGUUAUGUUGCUUAGGAAUAUAGAUCCUAAAGGAGGCCUUUGCAACGGGACUAGACUUCAGAUUACGCAGCUAUUAAAUCAGAUUGUGGAAGCAAGAGUUAUAACAGGAGACAGGAUUGGUGAUAUCGUUUUUAUUCCUCUCAUAAACAUUACACCUUCAGACACCAAACUGCCAUUCAAGAUGCGUAGAAGACAGUUUCCACUAUCUGUUGCAUUUGCUAUGACUAUCAAUAAGAGUCAGGGGCAAUCUCUUGAACGAGUUGGACUUUACUUGCCUAAACCAGUCUUCUCUCAUGGCCAACUAUAUGUUGCGUUGUCUAGAGUGACUUCUAAAAAAGGUUUGAGAAUACUAAUACUCAACAAAGAAGGGAAGAUUGAGAAGAAAACAACGAAUGUUGUUUUCAAGGAAGUUUUCCAAAACAUUAACUGAACAAUGUUAUCUACAGAGAAAUUCUGCAAUGAGGUCAGUUGAAUUACCUUUUACUUUUUAUGAUUUAAGUUAUGGUCUGAAAAACCCCUACACACAAUCAUAAUGCAACAUAUAUUUCACUUUCUACUGUAGGAACCUCAUAUCUAAUCAACCAGACAGCUUCAACAUCAAAGAUGCAUUCAUAUCGGAAGUAAAAUGUCAAUUUCCUACUGAACUAUUUGUGGAAGUCAUUUGCAUACUCUAAGUUCUGCAUUUUCCUUUUAAAAUAAAACAAAGAAACUCUUACCACCAAAAAAUUGGUUGUGCUGGGACUAACCUUGCUUUCUGAGGUAGUUGUUGAAUUCUCCUCUUUAUAUUUUUGGCUUCUGUGGACAUCAUCGUCAGAGAUUGUGCUGGAUUUUGGCUCAGUAACCUAGCAUAUUUCAAAAAUAACUUAAAAUUAAUAGUUGCGAUCACUUUUUUAGCUUAUAUCAGAUUUUCAGAAACACAUUAUAUUCUGCGUUUGUCACAACACAGUUGAUUCAUGCCUUUGUAUAAACUACACGCAAUUCUACCAAUUAUUCACCAUCACUAAUUACCUUUUAAACAAAUCUUACGGAAAAUGAUGUUGCCUCAAUCAUCAAUUUCAGAUAAGCACAAACCUUUAGAUUGCUCCGAUUAUGAAUUGAACAAUCGAUUGAGUUUUCUCCUGUACUCCAUUGCUUGAUUACUCACUCGGAUGAUACCAGUCACUUACAUGCAACCACUGAAUUAUACAGAUUCUUCUCGCCGGAGACUUUUAACUUCUACAAUCCAAUCGGAAUUUGAGAGACCUUAUUUGCAAUCC